rnacentral:rRNA from 1 species
UACGUAGGGGGCGAGCGUUAUCCGGAAUUACUGGGCGUAAAGCGCACGCAGGCGGUUCGCCAAGUUUGGAGUGACAGUUGUCAGCUCAACCGACAAAGGACUUCAAAAACUGGUGAACUUGAGGACGAGAGAGGAACAUGGAACUCCAGGUGUAGUAGUGAAAUGCGUAGAUAUCUGGAAGAACACCAAUGGCGAAGGCAAUGUUCUGGCUCGUUUCUGACGCUCAGGUGCGAAAGCCAGGGGAGCGAACGGG